rnacentral:ncRNA from 2 species
ACCUUUUGUAGAGGUGCUUUAAGUUAAGAGUAACUGUUUGGAGUUGGCAAAUGUUGAUAACAGUGAAAGGGACUUUUAGCCGAAGUAAAUAAAUUGGCGGAUUUAUUUACUGGCUUUUUAUAUAAUAUAUGAAGGGCUGUCACUUUAUUAGUUAUUAGGUAAGUGGAGCGCUACAAGGUAC